rnacentral:lncRNA from 1 species
UUUGACUUAAGGGAGCGAUGCUUGUAUUUAAGGAAGGAAAGCUUGUAGACAUGUUUAGGAAUCCAGUGGAAGGUGUACUGAAAAUGCUAGGUUGGGUAUUUGUAUUUUGUCCAAACCCAGUCUGCGCAAAUGAGGGGCUUGAGCUAAACAGCGGAGCUGACUGACUGUUGUUAAAGUAUCCACUGCUAAAUGCUGGAGUUGACCCUUGUGCAGGAGUCGAACUAAACAGUGACGGAGAGGAGCCAGAUGAACUGAAGACUGACGAAGAGGCAAAUGAAGGAGUGCUUGAUGGACCAAAUGGCUGCGUUGUGGUUGCUGCAAAACCAGAGAGGAUGGUCCAAAACCGGGUGUGGUAUUUGAUGAAGUUCCAAACAAGGAUGGGGUAGUAGGUUGGCCAAAGGGAGACGAGAAAUUUGUGUUAGUUGCUGAAUGGAAUCAACCAUCAAUGUCUUGGCAAGAUCUUCGGACUAAAGAAUGUGAAAUAGACGUCCAAAGAUCUUCGGGCUAAUCAAAUGCCAGACACAUUUGCUGACCCGAAAAAGAAUGACUAAGUCAUAUAUAAACCAGCUUGUAAAGCACCAACGAAUUUGAUGUCCAAGAAGAGACACAAUCAAGUUGCUACAGAGUCUAGACAACGUAUGAAACGUUGUAGACCAAAUAGGUUCCAAAAGAUAAGAAUCCUCGGAAACAAAAGAAAGGUGCAGAGAAUGAUAAUCAAAAUCCAAAUCCGAGGUUACUAAGGAAACCAUCCNNNNNNNNNNNNNNNNNNNNNNNNNNNNNNNNNNNNNNNNNNNNNNNNNNNNNNNNNNNNNNNNNNNNNNNNNNAAAUUUAAUUUUCAUAUUUAUGUUUUUUUAUAGUCAUAUUUUUUUUUAUAAUUAUAUUUUUAUAAUUUUUAUAAUUAUUAUUAAUAAGAGAUUUUGAUAUUUAUAUUGAAUUUGUGAUGUUACAUAACUAUAAACUUGUGAAAUAUUAUUAGGUAACAAAUAUGAAUAAAAAAAUAAAUACAAAAAUAUAUUUGAAUUUUAGAUUUGUUGUCACAUACGUAUCCUUUAAAAAAGGAGGUAACUCCUUAUGUGAAUUGAUCUCCUUAUGUGAAUUGAUCUGCACGAAGAGAGAUAACUGAUUAUAUUAUUGAAAUAUAUUAGGUUAUUUUUUAAAUAGGCCACGCAGGAAAAAAUUAUUGGAUCAAUAAUUUAUCAAUUGGUCAUGAUUCUGAUUUAAUAGAAUAGAUGUGAAAUAUUAUUAGGUGACAAAUAUGAAUAAAAAAAUAAAUACAAAAAUAUAUUUGAAUUCUAGAUUUGUUGUCACAUACGUAUCCUUUAAAAGAGGAGGUAACUCCUUAUGUGAACUGAUCUCCUUAUGUGAAUUGAUCUGCACGAAGAGAGAUAACUGAUUAUAUUAUUGAAAUAUAUUAGGUUAUUUUUUAAAUAGGCCACGCAGGAAAAAAUUAUUGGACCAAUAAUUUAUCAAUUGGUCAUGAUUCUGAUUUAAUAGAAUAGAUCCGUUAAUCAAAUAAAACCAGAAAAAACUAAAAACCUGCUACCAACCCGCGAUCUGAUACUGGUUGAUCUGAUAAAACUCCAAAAAAUUAUAUUAAAUUUGUAGUAAAUAACAGUAUUAAUUUAUUUUUGUUAUUAAUAGCCUAUUAUAAAUUUAUAUUUCUAUUUAUUUUAGAUUUAAAAUUUAAUUUUAUAAUAAUAUUUAAAAUAUUUUUGAACACUCAAAAUCUUUAUACAUUUACACUGAACCGACAAAUCUUUAUAUAUUGAUAAAAUAAUUAUAAUGAAUUGGUUAGUAGUUCUAAACCAUGAACUGAUUUGUUUUUACACCAAAGAACCGAAAAAUAUUUACACAUUUAUUGAAAAUUCUAUUGGACCGAUUUCUAUUUUUUUGGUUUAGUAUAUUGAAAUGGUUACCUUUUAAAACCCAGCGUGUGAACUGGGUUUAAAUAUUUUUUGUUUAGUAUAUAUAAAAAAAAUAUGAAUAAGAGUGUAUCAAUCAAUGAAAGUGGCAUAUGUCGCAUCAAACAUUAAGAAUAUGAUUUAUUAGCGUUUGGUAUGUAAAUAUUAAUCAACCAUAUAAUAGUAUUUUAUCAUCACAUGCUCAAAUGCAUUGUAUAAGUUAUAAUAUAGAUAAAUAUGUGUUUUUUUUUUCUUUUUUCAUUUUGUGGGUCGGCGUAGGCCUGGGACGGAUCGGGUAUCCGAGCAAUUUUAAGAUAUCCGGAUCCGGAUCCUUAUCCGGUGGAUCCAUAAUUUUACUAUCCUUAUCCGGAUCCGUGGUUCGCGGAUAUCCGGGUGUCGGAUAUCCUUCUAAAAAUUAAAAUAUCCGGCGGAUAUCCGGAUCCGGAUUUAGAUCCUUAAAAUAAAUAAAAUAAUAAUAAUAAUAUAUAUAAAAUAUUAAAAAUAAUUUAAAAACAACGACGUUAGAUCUUUUCUACUCAUCAUCUUCAUCUCCAACCAUGUAAGAACUAAAAAUGUUCGACCUUAAACUUCCACUCCCCAUUCACAGAAUCAUAAGACACGAACUCAGCUCCUUGUUCUUCAGCUUUCCUCUUGAGCAUUUCCUUAUACUUCUCCACCCUCGGGCCUUCCUUCACUUGCUUCCCGCUCUUCUUGUCCAUGCAUUUUAUGUUGAGCAACGUUACUUCCGCUGGCUUGUUCAGUCCCUGACCAACAGGAGGUUUUUGGCUCUCGUCCAUGUACACAAGCACUUCCCUGUUGCUGAACUGAACCAACUUUUCCAAGUAGAGCUUACGCACAUCCGUCUCUCCUAGAAACUUAAUGCUUCCGUAACCGUGUCUACCGACAACAAAGUCCCUCACUCGUCCGGUAUAACCAGGAUUAGCCCUUUCCUUUGCAGCUAGUUCUUGGACCCGAGGCUCUGUGAAAUACUCAGCGUGAUGCAGCUUUGGCAGCAAUGACUCGAUCUCUGCUCUACUUGGUGAACUCUUUGAGCCGUUCUUGUCGCCUCCGUGAUUUUCAUGUGCCACGUUAAGUUUCGCACUGGCUUUUACCGGAGGAGCAUCACGAACUUCACCAUUAUUCUUAUCUGCGGAUAUUAUUAAUAAUCAAGUUAGACAAUGGUUUCCAAAAAAAGUACAAACAUGAAUCACUCUUUUGUUACAUACGCAUGUAUUGAAUACUUACUCUCGUUGUUGGCUCCAUUAGUAAUAACCCCAUUCGAUCUCUUACCUGAAAUUCACAUGUAAAAACGGUCAAGUGGGUCAUGUUAUAAGCAUUCUCGGAGUGUUCAAAAACAAAGGUAGCAUAGAUCUCUCACUUCUUUGCCAUUUAAAACUAGUCUCCAAGCAUGCAAUAAAUAAAGCCAAUGAAUGUAAAAAGCAAGCUUACCAUUCUCCUGCAGAGGGGUCGUCUCAUCCUUCAGCGGUGCUGCUGUUUCCUUUUUAAGUGAGCGUAUUAACAAAGCUCUCGGGUUUUCCCUUGGAGUGAGAAACGCAUCAGCCCUAGGUGUAUUGGAGUUCUCUUCAUCACUGAAGAAUGGAACCUGAAACAAACAUGUAGAAAGAACUUCAGUAACAAAAAAUAUAAAGAUUUACAGUUUAAUUCAAGACCAAGCCGAGAUUCAGAAAACAGUAAACAUACCUUUGGACUAUCAUCCCCAGCACGGUACUUUCUUGCAGGCAGCAUGACCCGUCUUUGCAAAAGAUGUCGAGAAGUCAGGAGUGGUGACACUCUGGCUGGUGCAGGUCUAUCAACGACCUGAGAAGAAACAAAAUAUAUGUGUUCGUAACAUGGAGUCUUUGCUAUAAGUUGGUUUGCUCGUGUUGAAGGAAAGCACAAUAAACUUACAGGCAAGCUGGAGAUUCCAUACUGAAUCGAAGGUGAAUUUCCACCUUGACCAAUUGAAAUCAGAGGGGCAGCAGGAAGCGUUCCAAAUGGGCUUGCAACAGGGUUUGGCUGCGUAGCAGUGAGGUUACUUGCAGGGUUUGGUUGCGAAGCAGGCCUGUCAAAACAAAGACGAGAAUGAACCGUAAAUAAAAUAAUCUAAAAGGAGAAACAAGAGUCGAGAGAAACUGAUGUACUUACACUUGCCCAAAGUUGACUGGACAAAAUGACAAUCCACCUGCAGCGGCUGUUUGGGUCUGACCAGAGUUGUUGAAACUAAAAGAUGGUUGAGUUGGCUGAGUUGAUUGCUGGAGUGUCGGACCAGAAGGCUACAACAAAUAAACCAACGUUAGAAAAGUGAAAGAGACGUUGAGCUAUAAAAAAAAAAAUAUAAGUUACCUUUGUUUGACUUAAGGGAGCGAUGCUUGUAUUUAAGGAAGGAAAGCUUGUAGACAUGUUUAGGAAUCCAGUGGAAGGUGUACUGAAAAUGCUAGGUUGGGUAUUUGUAUUUUGUCCAAACCCAGUCUGCGCAAAUGAGGGGCUUGAGCUAAACAGCGGAGCUGACUGACUGUUGUUAAAGUAUCCACUGCUAAAUGCUGGAGUUGACCCUUGUGCAGGAGUCGAACUAAAC